AAAAAAAAUAAUAAUAAAUAAAAAUAAAAAUAAAAAUAAUAAUAAAACACACACACACACGCUAAUUCAAAAAUCCAUAUCCCAGUUUGGCUGCCAAGAAAACAAAGAGAAAGGAAGAAAACAAAGUCAGUGAACGCGUUUGAAACGACGCCGUUGCCAAAAUUCAGUUAUUUCCAAUUACCACCAAAAAAACAUAAACAAAAAGCUAUUUCGCAGAACAAUUUUCU
rnacentral:misc_RNA from 1 species